rnacentral:lncRNA from 1 species
GAUGAAGCAAAAACUGAAGAAAAACUACUAAAAAGAAAAGGGAAAUAUGAAUUUUACUUAUGAAAAUAUAGUCACAGAAACAAAUAAAAGCUACUUAUAGAUUCAAGAAAGACAACAAACUGAUCUUCAAGUUAAACGAUUCCUUGACUGAUGAUAUGAACCGUAGUAAAAGGAACCUAUCUUCUUUUUUUUCCAGACGCAGGGGCUAUCCGGGCCUUCGGCCCGACUAAUCCCCCUGCGGCCCAAGAGGAGAGGCCCCAUCCCCUCGAACAUGGUAACCCUGGUGGGGGAGAUGGACAACGCUUCUUGAGGAGGCUGCGUGACCAACCGAGCUACCCAAUAGGGGCUAAAAGGAACCUAUCAAUUGAAGCAUAUGUGUAUAUUAGAAUUUGUUAAUCUGUCUAUUAUUCAUACGUGGAAAAUUUGACAAAAAAAAGGGGAAAGAUUUUUUUCUCACCAAAGAGACUCCAAAGAAGGUGUAAAGGCCAGGAUGCUUCUUGCAGUUCAUAAGGCAGAGGAGCCAGCGGCAUGCACUAAUAAAUACCUCUAUUACAUUUUUUUGAUUUCAUAAUUCACUGGAAAAACUGCAGCCUAAAUGAAUCGAAAACCAAUUUCUCAUCAUAACUGAAAUAAGGAAAAAAUCAUAUCUGAAACGAUAUUUCUCAUCAUUAUCGUAUGGCUGAUGAGAAUUGAAUAGAAAGCAUGAUUUGAGCGGAAAAUUGAAUGGCAAAACUGAUGAGAAUAGAAUACCAUACCUAAUCUAACAAAAAGUUCCGAAUUUCCUUCCUUUGAAGUACAAUUAUCACGUGAGUGCCCAACAAUUCUUGCAACAUGAAAUCAAAAUAGAAAAGGGUUAAUUUGAUAUUAGAGGAAGAGGAAAACACGGCAUGUGUAAGCAAGAGUAGUUCAGCUGCUCCCAAUUUUCCUCCUUUGAAGUACAAACACCAUGUGAGUGACCAGCAAUCCCUGCAACAUGAAAUGAAGUAUCUGCAGGAGUAGCAGUUGACCUACUGGUUUGAAGAAAGAACUCACAAAUCUUCAUCAAAAACCCAUCGCCUGAAUCAUGUAAAAAUCCAAACUUUUUAGAGAAUAGACAUUUCAAACUGGGUUUGGUAGAAUAGGCACUUGGAAUUGGAUUUGCUCAGUAAGGAAUUGGAAUUGGGUUUGGUAGAAUAGGUGCUUGGAAUUGGAUUUUUGCCCAGAAUAGACAUUCGGUAGAGAGAAAAGAAGAAAAAGCUUCGGCGGCAACUUGAGAAAGAAACGGUUCAAUUGGAUUUCUUGAGAAAGGAAUUGGAAUUGGGUUUGAUACAAUAGGUGCUUGGAAUUGGAUUUUUGCUCAGAAUAGCCAUUCGGUAGAGAGAAAGGAAGAAAAAGCUUCAACAAGAACUUGAGAGAAAUGGUUCAAUGGCAAAA